ACAAUGUCUGGAAAUUUCUUCAACUUCAAGCAACCAGAAAGAACAAGUGUCUUAAGAGAUUUCAUAAAGGUCUUGCCUGGAAGAGUUGUAAGACUUGUACAACAUUUCAAAUUCAACAAACUCAGCUUCUUUGACGCAGAAAAAAAUGAGUGAAUCUCCUGCAACGUUGUAAAUCUUUCAGAAAUCAGCUCCCCUAAAUUUGGUACUCUUGUGAAGUCUGAUUGGUCCUAUUAGAAAAGGCUUUAGCACUGACAUGCAUCUCUUUGUUGUUAAAGCGAUCAAAUAUGAUGCUUCAACUACAUCAGUUUCCUAAACAUUAUAACAAAAAAUAAGUGGGAACCAAAAAAAAAGAAUGAAAGAAAGAAAAUAUUGAUAAAACUAUGCAAAGGUUUAACUAGUUAAAUAAGUGAUCAUGAUCCCAAAAUUGCAAGUUUUCAAGCAUAAAACUUACAAUUUAAAAAAAAAAUGAAAAUAAAGAGAGCUGCAUAGCAUAAAACUUACAAUUUAAAAAAAAAAUGAAAAUAAAGAGAGCUGCAUAGCAUAAAACUUACAAUUUAAAAAAAAAAUGAAAAUAAAGAGAGCUGCAUAGCAUAAAACUUACAAUUUAAAAAAAAAAUGAAAAUAAAGAGAGCUGCAUAGCAUAAAACUUACAAUUUAAAAAAAAAAUGAAAAUAAAGAGAGCUGCAUAGCAUAAAACUUACAAUUUAAAAAAAAAAUGAAAAUAAAGAGAGCUGCAUAGCAUAAAACUUACAAUUUAAAAAAAAAAUGAAAAUAAAGAGAGCUGCAUAGCAUAAAACUUACAGCUUCGAUUAUGUUGCAAGCAGCAGAGGAAUUUUCUUAAUAAGAAUUCCAACAGCAAACAUUCUAGGCCCUAACAUUCCAUAUGUUUUAAAAAUCAACUACAUGUCAACGAUGCCGAAUUCCAAGGAAUCUUCUAUUUAACAAAAAGGAAAUAAUAAGAAUCAACCAUUGUCAAUUCUUAUCAACAAAGUCUUCAAAUUGACAUUGCGGUCUCUGUUGUUUAAAAGGGGAAAAAAAAAAUUCAAUAGUUGUCAAUUCCUAUCAACCAAGUCCUCCAACCAUAAUUAAAUACGGGGCUGGAGAAAAGAAAAAUAAAAAUAAAAUGUUGAAUCCUCCUGAUUGUAUCAUGGAUAAAUCUUAUUUAGAUCUGAGUCCAUAUUUUAACAUAUUCAUUGACCCAUUUUCAGACAUGUCAUGAAUUGUAAAUCAAGCCAGCGAUUCACAAAAAAACAACAAAGAAAAAAAAAAAAGAUUCUGUGUUCAGCCACAAAUGGGCUAUUUCACAGCCAAGCAAGAAAAACAAAUGAAGAAAAUUAAUUGCUUUCCACUGGUUCAAGAAUUAACACCAUUAUCGAUUGCUUCUUUAUUGGAAGAAAUAAUUUUGAAUAAAGCUCAGCAUCAUUAAAACAAAUGUGAUGAUAUUUUUUCAGUCAUCAGAUGAUAAUUUCUUCAUACAUUCAUUCUAUGGCCUGCCUCUGUUUUAUGUCUAAAACUCAAGAAAUUCUACAAUUUCUUUGUUCUACUACAUCGUUCAUUCAACAAUAAAUAAUCAAAUUCUGUCAUGUAAUUUUUUAUUUAGAAAAUUCCAAAAAAGUUAGUCGCUAGAAAAUUUAGUUAAAGACAUGUAUAGAUAAACUACCAAGGCACUGAAAAUAUGAAAUCACAACACUAUAUUGAAUCAAAACAAUAAUGUCUAUAGCGAAGGAAUCUCAAAAUCUGCUCACGAGCUAUGACUAGUGUAGGACAAACCUUCACAAAUUGACCUUGUUUGUUGAUUGCAUUUGCUUGGGAAAUCGUAGAGCUGAUGCAACACAUCAGGUGGGAUGCACGUUCCUUUGUGGGCAUAUUAUCGAACACGUCCUAGGCACAAGAAUUAUACCAUAAUCCCUCAACAAACUCCUCUCUUGAGCUUGGCCUGAAAAUUCUAUAUAAUCAUUCCUUUGUCUAUUUCUCGUUUGUUCUGAACCUAAAUCAAGCUGAGAUCGAUCAUAUUCAUACAGAUACUUGUCUUUCUUCCUAAAAUCCUCAAUUCAAGCUUGCCAAUUUAGGCACUGUUCAACAUUUGUCCGCUAAGCAUUGUAGCCUCAAUUCCCAGGUUCAAGUAUUUAAACCCAUAAAAAUUCACAGAGGAAAUGACAAGGAAGAGCGUGAACUCAAUUACACUCUCGAACUCUUCGCUGUACCUUACAAGCGGACACAUUAAAGAUUGCCGAUAAAUCAGACCCUGUGUUUAUUUGUAGCUGCUGCAAAGUGCUAACCACGGUUAACAAACUUGUGUUAAGAAUAAAUUUCAGUAUUAGCUCAGCAAUGUUCGUUAAGUCAGUUAAAUAACAGACUUUAGUGAUGUGGUUGCUGAGUCAGCAAGUUUGUUAGUAGUUCGUUAUUAACAGAUUUAAUCUUAGCUCAUGCAUUUCGUGUGUAUAGAAAGUUCCAGAUACCAGUAUAAUUAGCCUUGCAAAAUCACACAUGAAAAUAUUAGAGUUCAUCAAAUUUCUCUUUCUCUCUGGUUAUGAUUUUCCUUCAACUUUCUCAGAAACCAAUCAUUACUAACCAGUUAAGGUUAUGAAUCUAUCCGCAAGGCAGCUGUAAAUAAUUAUAUAGCUUGAUAUCUCAAUUUUGGGUAAAUACUUGUUUAAUCUAUAUAUUUUUUGUUUAAGUAUUUAUUUAGUCUUUAUAUUUUAAACAAUAGUCUCAAGAGAUCCCUGCUGUAAAGUAUAUUACAGUCAUGCACUUGCUUUUUCUUUCAUUUUAUAGGAAUACACUUGCAACAAUAUUCUUAAGGAUAUUAAUUAAUUUAUCUAUAAUGAAAGUUAAUUAUCAAAAUAACCUUAAAGGUAAAUUAAAAAUAAAUAUAAUUAUUUUAUUUUAUUUUUGGGAUUAAUUUGGUAGUUUUUUUUAAAUAAUUAUAACAAAGACUAUAAUUGCAAGGGUAUUAAGUAUUGCUUUAAGUUAGCUAGUCAUAUUUUUAUUUUAUAUCAUUAGAAGAUUGUUGUAAGAGUAUGAAAAUUACCAGUUCAUUCAAACUGAUAAUUAUUGGUUAAUUUGAUAAUAAAUAAUUAUGGGUAAAUUUGUUAAUUAACAUUUUUCAUAGAUUAAUUAAUUAAUGUCUCCAAAAUUAUAGUAACAGUAUUGUUGUAAAACAAAAGAAAAACAAAGGACAAGAGUACAUAUAUUCAAUAAGUAGGGUGUUUUGAGAUAUUUUUUAAAAUAUAAGAAAUAAACAGAUAUUUAACCUAGAGUAUAGGAACUAUUCAAACGUGUACUCUCACAACUUUUGACAUGAUUAAUAAAGGAUAAGAGCAUAUUAAAAAAGCAUUUCUACUUAAAUUUAUUAUAGUCAUGCAAAAUAGAGAAACUUUGUUAUACUGAAUGAUAAAAUAAAUAUUAAUAUAUGUGCAUAUGAGAUUAUUAUAUAACGAACCCGCUAUCAAACCCGAAGCUUGAACCUAAGUUGAGGUUUGCAUUGUACAACUCCUAUCAUUGUCUAAAUCCAGAUUCCGUAAAAUCCAAACAUCAAAAAAAACUUCUCCGAACAUCGAAAAUCCGGCUAAUGGACUGUUUAAAUACACUUAUAACCUCUUUUUCCUAAUCCAUCCGUGAAAAUCACAACAAAAAUAAAUUUUGUUUUAUUGUACAUUCAUAAUUCAAUUCGCCAAUCAUUUUUUUUUAAUCCAUCUGUGUAUAUCACAAUACGAGUAAAUUUUUUAUUGUACAUUUAUUAUUCAAUUUCAUUUUUCUCCAAAAAAAUUUAGUACGCACAUUUUUUCAAAUUUGUGGCAUGCACAUAAAGCAGAGCUUGAAUCUAAAACUUGAGUCUUAGAAGCCCUAUAAUUGGAGCUAAAUCUGGCCUCUAACAUAGUAUGUGCCCUUUCUUCAAUUUGCAGCUUUUUUGUCAGACCUAAAAUUGAUUUAAUUUGUAAUGUUACUUAGCUGGUGCUGAACAAACAGCAGCCCUUACAUCAGAAGGCGCUAAUGCAGUUCAAGUAAAUUCAUGCAAAGCAAACCCCGAGAUACAAGUAAAAUUGAAAAUGUAAGAAAAUUAGCUUACAUGUUUAAGCUUAUUGGAAGCAAUCAAAGAUGAUAAAAUUUACUUGAAUUUCCAAUUAAGUUUGUUUCAGUGAAAUCAAUGAGAGGAUUUUCACGUGUUCUAAUUAAUUUCUCAAACAACAAUUUUAAUCUAAAGUGACUGCCGAAAGUAAUAAUGAAGAAUGAUUUUGGCCUUUAGUGGAGAAAAGACAUGGUCUAUUUGAUGUUGACAAAAGCUAGCUUCAAUAAUCUACACACCAAAAGCAAGGAUUCUUUAUGUAUUUUAUUAGGGGCAUCUUCAAAUGUAAUUGUAUUUUUUAGGGAAAAAUGAAUAAAAUAUUCUCUUGGAAUAAUUCCUGUACAAUCUUUCAAUUUUGUUUUUUAAUUUGUAGUAUUUUCUCAUUAAAAUAAGUAAAGAUUUGAAAAUAAAGGUUAAAGGCUUGACAUUUUUCUUUGAAGUUGUUUAAAGCUUGGGAAGAAAGGUUUAAGGCUGUCCACUUCUCUUAGAAAUAAUUGGUUUUACGCAUCUUUUGGUUACAACUUACAAGCCUCACAAGUUGUAAGUUAUUAUUCAGAUUUUUUAUAAAAGCACUGGUCAAGCAGAGUCAACUCAGAUAAAACUUAAAUUUCCCGCACAAACAAAAACUAACAAACAUAAAGAGCAACUCGUGAGGCUUGUAAUUUGAUCAUUUCUGUAUUUGUCAAUGCUUUAUUGAUUCUAAGGCUCUAAAAGCAAGUAAAUGCAACAGUUGUAUGCAAUUGAUGAAUAUAGAUCAGCAAAUCCAAAAAUUGUUGAUAAUAUUACUUAGUAAGGUUACGAAUCCAUCUGCAAGACAGCUGUAAAUAGUCAUAUACCCUGACGUAUAAACUUUUUAUAUGAUUAAUAAAGGAUAAGAGCAUAUUCCAAAAUCAAUUUCUACUUAAAUUUAUAGUAGUCAUGCAAAAUAGAGAUAGUGAAUGUGUAUAUCACUGUGCAGAUUCUUCCAUGAAUCUGAAUCUUUCUGUCGAAGAUAAUGUUAGGAAUGCACAUAGAAGUAAUACGGUACUGCAUGUUAUAAAGGAAAUUAUUAAUUUUGUAAAGUACCUUAGCGAUUCUGCUUUUGCUAACUUUGUUACUGUCUCAAACCAUUUAUCAUACAUGGAAGACUCUUGAGAUUCUUGCAAUGUUUCAAAUUCGACAAGACAUUGCCUGAAAGAAGUUCAAUAGAUGCUGGCAAUCCUCUUAUAGCAGUUCUUCCAAAUGAAGCUCCAAGAGCUGAUCCCUGCUUGAAGUUUUCUCUGGGAACUCUCUGAAUUUCAAAGGGCUGGAGAGAUUCAAAGUUGACAGAUAUUUUAGAGCACUUAUGGUCCUUGGAAGACACUCAAGAAUUUUGCAGCCAUUCAGAGUCAACUGAGCAAGUCCAAAUAGAAGUUCAAUUGAUAAUGCCAGUUCUUUAAUAUCAGUUCCAUCCGAAAGAACUUCCCACAAUGUCUAGAAAUUCCUUCAAUUUCCAGCAACCAGAAAGAACACGUGUCUUAAGAGAUUUCAUAAAGAUCUUGCCUGGAAGAGUUGAAAGACUUGUACAACCUUUCAAAUUCAACAGAAUCAGCUUCUUUGAAGAAGAAAAAAUGAGUGAAUCUCCUGCAACCUUGUAAAUCUUUCAGAAAUCAGCUCCCCUAAAUUUGGUACUCUUGUGAAGUCUGAUUGGUCAUAUUAGAAAAGGCUUUAGCACUGACAUGCAUCUCUUUGUUGUUAAAGUGAUCAAAUAUGAUGCUUCAACUACAUCAGUUUCCUAAACAUUAUAACAAAAAAUAAGUGGGAACAAAAAAAAAAAUGAAAGAAAGAAAAUAUUGAUAAAACUAUGCAAAGGUUUAACUAGUUAAAUAAGUGAUCAUGAUCCCAAAAUUGCAAGUUUUCAACCGAACUGAACAUUUACUUGUGCUUUGUGAUAAUACAUGGCAUAUAUCGGCUUUUUUCCACAAUCUAUUGCAGUUUCCAGGUUCCUGAUGGGAUUGCCUCCUAACAAUUUGUCUACCCCAUUUCUUGUAACUACUCAUGCAUCCACAGUCCGCUGAAAUCAUCUACAGUUAAUAGAGUUUUUUCAAUAGGACCAACAAUUUCGAUAAUUGGGUCAAAAUCACAAUAUUUGAGAAUUUUUUUCACAUAAUCUCUGUACUUCCCUUCAUAGAAACAUGCAAGAUCGAGAAAUAUUUUCUUCUCUGUUUCUUUUGACCCAUCAAAACUUAUUUGAAGUACAUCAAGAAUCUCAUUUUCAGGAUCUCCCUAUAGUCAUUGUAGUAUAAUUCUGAACAUAUUUUCUUCUCUGCUUUGGAAAUUAAUGAUCUUUUUCUUCAUAUUUAUUCUGAAAAUUCAAAAACAUAAUUGAAAAUAAAGAGAACUACAGGGCAUAAAACUUACAACUUUGAUUAUGUUGCAAGCAGCAUAGUAAUUUUCUUAAUAAGAAUUCCGACAGCAAACAUUCUAAGCUCUAACAUCAAAAUGUUUUAAAUAUCAACUACAUGUCAACGAUGCGGAAUUCCAAGGCAUCUUCGAAUCCUCGUGAUUGUUUCAUAGAUAAAUCUGAUCUAGAUCUGAGUCCAUAUUUAACAUAUUCAUCGACCCAUUUUCAGACAUGGCAUGAAUUGUAAAUAAAGCAAAAAAUUGCAAAAAGCAACAAAGAAACAAAAAACAGAUUCUAUGUUCAGCCACAAAUGGGCUAUUUCACAGCCAAGCACAGCAUCAUUCCAACAAAUGUGAUGAUAUUUUUUUCCUUCAUUCUAUGACCCGACUCUGUUUUAUGUCUAAAACUCAAGAAAUUCUACAAUUCCUUCGUUCUACCACAUCAUUCACGCAACAACAAAUAAUCAAAUUCUGUCAUGCAUAUUUUUAUUUAGAAAUUUGCCAAAAAAAAUUGAUUAAAUAAACACUGGGUUUGCACUGUGUUUGUGGUAAAAUUUUGUUAAAGACAUGUGUACAUAAACUACCAAGGCACUGAAGAUAUGGAAUUUGAUAGUGACUGAAUAUAUUGACAAUACAUAUUGAUAGUGAAGGAAUCUCAGAAUCUGCUCACUAGCUAUGACUCACGCAGGACAAACCUUCACGAAUUGACCUUGUUGAUUGAUUGCUUUUGCUUGGGAAACCAUAGAGUUGAUGCAACCCAUCAG
rnacentral:lncRNA from 1 species